UGGGGAAUCUUAGACAAUGGGGGAAACCCUGAUCUAGCCAUGCCGCGUGAUCGAUGAAGGCCUUAGGGUUGUAAAGAUCUUUCAGGUGGGAAGAUAAUGACUGUACCACCAGAAGAAGCCCCGGCUAACUCCGUGCCAGCAGCCGCGGUAAUACGGAGGGGGCUAGCGUUGUUCGGAAUUACUGGGCGUAAAGCGCACGUAGGCGGAUUGGAAAGUUGGGGGUGAAAUCCCGGGGCUCAACCCCGGAACUGCCUUCAAAACUCCCAGUCUUGAGUUCGAGAGAGGUGAGUGGAAUUCCGAGUGUAGAGGUGAAAUUCGUAGAUAUUCGGAGGAACACCAGUGGCGAAGGCGGCUCACUGGCUCGAUACUGACGCUGAGGUGCGAAAGCGUGGGGAGCAAACAGG
rnacentral:rRNA from 1 species